UACGAAGGGGGCUAGCGUUGCUCGGAAUCACUGGGCGUAAAGGGUGCGUAGGCGGGUCUUUUAAGUCAGGGGUGAAAUCCUGGAGCUCAACUCCAGAACUGCCUUUGAUACUGAAGAUCUUGAGUUCGGGAGAGGUGAGUGGAACUGCGAGUGUAGAGGUGAAAUUCGUAGAUAUUCGCAAGAACACCAGUGGCGAAGGCGGCUCACUGGCCCGAUACUGACGCUGAGGCACGAAAGCGUGGGGAGCAAACAGG
rnacentral:rRNA from 1 species